rnacentral:rRNA from 1 species
GUGGGGAAUAUUGGGCAAUGGGGGAAACCCUGACCCAGCAACGCCGCGUGAAGGAAGAAGGCUUUCGGGUUGUAAACUUCUUUUAUGAGGGACGAAGAAGUGACGGUACCUCAUGAAUAAGCCACGGCUAACUACGUGCCAGCAGCCGCGGUAAUACGUAGGUGGCAAGCGUUGUCCGGAUUUACUGGGUGUAAAGGGCGCGUAGGCGGGAUAGCAAGUCAGGUGUGAAAUCCGGGGGCUUAACACUCGAACUGCACUUGAAACUGUUCUUCUUGAGUGAUGGAGAGGCAAGCGGAAUUCCUAGUGUAGCGGUGAAAUGUGUAGAUAUUAGGAGGAACACCAGUGGCGAAGGCGGCUUGCUGGACAUUAUCUGACGCUGAGGCGCGAAAGCGUGGGGAGCAAACAGGAUUAGAAACCCGUGUAGUCC